rnacentral:rRNA from 1 species
GAUGAACGCUGGCGGCGUGCCUAAUACAUGCAAGUCGAGCGAACAGACGAGGAGCUUGCUCCUCUGAUGUUAGCGGCGGACGGGUGAGUAACACGUGGAUAACCUACCUAUAAGACUGGGAUAACUUCGGGAAACCGGAGCUAAUACCGGAUAACAUGUUGAACCGCAUGGUUCAACAGUGAAAGACGGUUUUGCUGUCACUUAUAGAUGGAUCCGCGCCGCAUUAGCUAGUUGGUAAGGUAACGGCUUACCAAGGCAACGAUGCGUAGCCGACCUGAGAGGGUGAUCGGCCACACUGGAACUGAGACACGGUCCAGACUCCUACGGGAGGCAGCAGUAGGGAAUCUUCUGCAAUGGGCGAAAGCCUGACGGAGCAACGCCGCGUGAGUGAAGAAGGUCUUCGGAUCGUAAAACUCUGUUAUUAGGGAAGAACAAAUGUGUAAGUAACUAUGCACGUCUUGACGGUACCUAAUCAGAAAGCCACGGCUAACUACGUG